UGUCUCGAAAUGAGCCUUCCUCCGAAUUAAGACUCCCUUCAGCAGCACAUUCAGCGUGCCAACUACCAGGCCGCAAUACACAAGUGAAGUCUGCAAAAACAACAACCUGACAUACCCCCACCGGUACAGCAUGGAUAGAGGAUGGACGGAGAAUACCUGGUAGUGCACUGGAUGACACUGCCCCCAGCACCACAGAGUGUCUUAGAGCUGGUGCACUGCCAAUGCAAAACCCUUAAAUGUGUGGGAGGGAACUGCACUUGCAAAAAGCAUUAGCUACCAUGCACAGAAUUGUGUUAUUGUAAAAACUGUGACAAUCUACCAUAAUUGGCUUAAAUAACUCCAUGACUACCACUAUAAAAUUGAUUUGAAAU